rnacentral:rRNA from 1 species
GACGUAGGGCGCGAGCGUUGUCCGGAUUUAUUGGGCGUAAAAGAGCUCGUAGGCGGCUUGUCGCGUCGACUGUGAAAACCCGCGGCUCAACUGUGGGCAUGCAGUCGAUACGGGGCAGGCUGGAGUUCGGUAGGGGAGACUGGAAUUCCUGGUGUAGCGGUGAAAAUGCGCAGAUAUCAGGGAGGGAAACACCCGGGUGGGCGAAAGGGCGGGGUCUCUGGGGCC